AUUGAACGCUAGCGGGAUGCCUUACACAUGCAAGUCGAACGGAGUGGCGAACGGGUGAGUAAUGUAUCGGAACGUGCCCAGUAGCGGGGGAUAACUACGCGAAAGCGUAGCUAAUACCGCAUACUAUUGGAGUGGCCGAUAUCGGAUUAGCUAGUUGGUGGGGGAACGGCUCACCAAGGCGAGGAUCCGUAGCUGGUUUGAGAGGACGACCAGCCACAAUGUGACUGAGACAAGGACCAUACGCCUACGUGAGGCAGCCGUGGUGAAUUUGAGACAAUGGGGGAAACCCUGAAACAGCCGUCCAACUUGAGCGAUGAAGGCCUUCAGGUUGUAAAGCACUUUUGGCAGGAGAGCGGUACCUGCAGAAUAAGCACCGGAUAACUACGUGCCAGCCGCCGCGGUAAUAC
rnacentral:rRNA from 1 species